CGCGAUGCCGCCCGCGGAGUGGCCCCGGCCUCCGCUCUCCCCGGCACCUGUCCUGGGAAGGCACCAACGUGUAGCGCGCCUGGACCCUCUCGUGAAGUCUCUCAUAGAGUGGGGUGAAAGUCUGGGGAGGAUUCCCUGGCAAAAACAGAAUUUCUCGUUGCCUUCGUCGGCAUCCUUUCCAUAAUGUCUCGAUUUCCCCCGUGCACCCCGGAUCCGGCUGCAGCACCGGAGCUUGAAGAGCCCCUUAAGGCUCCGCUGAGCGAACAACCCCAAGCUCUGCUGGAUGCCCAGGGAAUGGGUUUUACUUAGUAGGGAUUAUUUUGAACCGCUACCAGCAAUUCACUCGACAUCUGACACCGGCAGCCCAACCUGCGGAAGGCGAAACAGAACCUCACUGGUCCUGAGUGGAGAUCCCUCUCUCCUCUGGGAAUUCCUCGGACCCUUCUCUGGAGACAUCUCUUCUCUC
rnacentral:lncRNA from 1 species